rnacentral:rRNA from 1 species
UAGAGGAAGUAAAAGUCGUAACAAGGUCUCCGUUGGUGAACCAGCGGAGGGAUCAUUACUGAGUUUACGCUCUACAACCCUUUGUGAACAUACCUAUAACUGUUGCUUCGGCGGGUAGGGUCUCCGCGACCCUCCCGGCCUCCCGCCUCCGGGCGGGUCGGCGCCCGCCGGAGGAUAACCAAACUCUGAUUUAACGACGUUUCUUCUGAGUGGUACAAGCAAAUAAUCAAAACUUUUAACAACGGAUCUCUUGGUUCUGGCAUCGAUGAAGAACGCAGCGAAAUGCGAUAAGUAAUGUGAAUUGCAGAAUUCAGUGAAUCAUCGAAUCUUUGAACGCACAUUGCGCCCGCCAGCAUUCUGGCGGGCAUGCCUGUUCGAGCGUCAUUUCAACCCUCAAGCUCUGCUUGGUGUUGGGGCCCUACAGCUGAUGUAGGCCCUCAAAGGUAGUGGCGGACCCUCUCGGAGCCUCCUUUGCGUAGUAACUUUACGUCUCGCACUGGGAUCCGGAGGGACUCUUGCCGUAAAACCCCCAAUUUUCCAAAGGUUGACCUCGGAUCAGGUAGGAAUACCCGCUGAACUUAAGCAUAUCAAUA